UCUAACAAACCGUUAAAUGCUGGUGUCCAUUUUAGCCACGGCCACGAAAAAACGUCUUGUGCUGGCAGCAUCAAUCGCUUCGGUACAUUUGUGGUUUAUUUGAUUUUUACAAACCAGAUGCACUGCACGCGUCUGCGCUAUGAGAUUUUGCUUUUUUUUCGAGCUAAUAUCUAUCUAUAGUCUGUCAAGCCAUUUCCGGCAGUAGAAUGAAGCGGCAAAUUUAAAAAAAUGUAGGCGCAAAGGGUUAUCUUCCCAUAGAAAAUUAGAAUUUUUCUACUAAUAAACAAAGAUGUUUGAGACUGACAUAGCAUAUUGCUGAUUAAAGAGGGAAGAAAACCUUUGCAAUCCUAACCGAACGUACGUAAAUUUUUGAUGAAAUCUCGGGAAAAAGGGUUUCCACUAACUAAAUCUUAAAGAAUCACUUUGAUUUUGAUGUCAAUCGCUUCAGCAUAAUAUAUUCAACGUUUAUAGGUUUCGCUUUUUAUUUUUAAAUUACAUAGUUUUUAUAAAACAAACGUAUAAAACGCGAUUAAAACUUGGCCGAAUUAAGCCGUUUGUUUCAUAAAAACUAUGUAGGUAAUUAAAAAAAAAGUGAGACCUAUAAAUCUAGAAUAUAUUACGCUGAAGCGAUCGACAUCAAAAUCAAAGUGACCAAAUUUCCUGAAAUAGAAAUCUCAUCAAAAAUGUUCGUACGUCGGUUAUGAUCGCAAAGCUAUUCUUCUCUCUUAAGGCACCUGACCCAUGUAAGGCCCAGUACGUAAUAAAGCCCACUUUUAUAAUAUUUGAUCUUUUUUACAAAAAUGGUUGUUGUUACUAAUAAACAUUGUUUCUAAUCCAAAACUACUAUUAUUACGUCGAUGAUUCAAUAACUAAUUUAUAAAAAAAAUAUCUUUAAUUUUUGUAUCCAAACCAUAAAUAAGGUGGGCCUUCCUUACAUGGGUGUGGUGUGGUCUGCAUUUUUAUUUUUUUUCUUUUAUUUAAGUUUGGAGCAUGACGAGUCUAGAGUAAAUUCGAUUAUUAAAAUACAGAGUGUGUUAAACAUAGUGACUAGGUAAACUGGCAAACCAAUUUUGUCACUAGAUAGGUGUUCUCACGAUGAAUUUAGCCUACAUUUUACAAAUUUGCCGCCUUUUUCUACUGACGGUAAUGACUUGCCGGACUAUAUUUAUGUAUAAGGCAGUGUUCAUUUUUAAGUAGGUUUACGGCGGAAGAAUCCGAUUUUAGCUUCUUGUUUUUAAAGUAGGUUUUCUUAGAAACAAUUAAAAUUAUUACAAAGUUUGUAACUGUAAGUAGAUGUCUUGAAUUCAGCAAAUAGUUUUGUUUAUAAGUUCAUUUUUUUUUUCUAAAUACUUAAAUUGGUGCUUUAAGUAGCUAUUAUAACAGUAUUUCAGCGAAAAUAGCUUAACAGGGGAGACUAUAGUGUUAUACCUACAGAAUGUUUUUGUUUUGGUUAUAAUGUAACUAAUUGUUUUCUAGUAUAUUCUAUAUAUUUAUCAUAUAUCAACGAGUAAAUGGGUAUGUUGAUUUUGUAAGGCCUUGGCACUUGCCAAAUUCCUACACACUUGUCUAUGAAUUGAUAAAUAAUAAAUAUAAAAGCUCUCCGACCAACUUUAUGCAUAACCUUUCCCAGAUCUUGAAUGAAUCUGCCGAAAUGUACUAAUGUGUUACGAGUAAACCAGGUUUGCUCUUCGGUGCAACUUGUUCGCGAGUGGCCCUCUUGUUAAGCAUUGAACUUAUUGUGUUCGUUGUCAAUUGUUUGGUUAAGUUAGUUACAGAGGUCGUUAUCAAUAUGUAGAUAAAGUUAUUUAUUAUAUAUAGAUAUAUAUAUAUAUAUAAAAUAAUGUUAUUCAAAAACAAAAACGACUUAUGCCAUUUCCUUUCUGUGAAGUAGACAUCUACUCUGCAAUCCCACGAUGAUACACCUACCAUUAAACAAUGAUAGGUUUAAUAUGUAACAGCCUGAGAAAAAGUCUAGCCUCAAUAUAAAACAAGUUCAUAAUUUUAACAUUAUUUGUACCGUCGUGAAUUAUUUUGUAAUAUCUUAUAAUAAAUAAGUUGCAUUAUGAGAUUUGUUUUUGAUUAAAAUACCUGGGCUAUAACCGCUAAAGUCGAACUUCGUCAAUUGCGGACAUUUUUCUCUGUCACUCUAAUUACGUGUUAGUGAGAGUAAGAGAUAGAUCCCCGCAAUUUGUGAAUUUCGAUUUUCGCGGUAGGCCCCCUGGCGCUUAACUUUAUAGCAUGAAUUCGGAAUUUUUGUAGAAACAAAAUUAAACUGAUGUGUCUUGGGUACUCCUUGAAGACGAAUUAACUCCAUUGUAGACGUCCACGGCUACGGCACAAUUUACUGUGUGAGAAGCAAAAAUAAUAUAGGUAGGUAUGUAACAAAUACGUACCAAAGACGGUCAGCUGGUGAAAGAAUACAAGCUACAUGAUAACAAUAACAUGAGUGUACCGCAAGGUACUGGAAAAUAACACGAAUCGCCGUUCUACGAAAUUGUAUAGGAAGUAUUUUAAUAUGAGGACCGAUAACAGCAAAGAGAAUUAAGAAGACCAAGAGUACUCACUCCAUACGGUUUUGUUACAAAAAAUACUAUUAUUUUCGUAGCCCGUAUGGCGACCCCUACGGUCGCUAUAAGGACUCUGGUUGGCAAAAAAAAAUACAUUUGAUUAUUCAAUAAAAUAACCACAAACAGAGAAAUAAGUAAGCAUGUGUUGUUAAGUGCUUACUCCAUACAUCAGUUUUGUUUUGUUACCAAUACGCUUAUUCGUAGUCGUCACGUCAUGUACCGGAUCUAUCAGUAGGUACUGAGGGCCUACCGCGAACCACGUUCGACGUGUUGCCUCCCUGUCACACUUACGUACGAAUUAACAAGUGCACCAGAGAGGCAACACGUCGAACGUGGUUGGCGGUAGGCCAUCUGCUACUAGUGCUACUUGACAAUAGAUGUUGCGACGAACGAAAAGUCUAAUGCUCAAUAAGUUUCUGCUAAUAUUAUAACCGUAUUAACCGAACUCUAUUUACAAUUCCUUCUUCUUGUAAUAUUAGUUGUAAAUUGUUGAGAAAUACACUUUUCGUCAGUCGCGACUCGCGACUUUUAUAACAUCAGGGCUAUUACCGCGAAAAUCGAAGUUCGUCAAUUGCGGGCAUUUUUCUGUCACUCUAAUUACGUCUUAGUGAGAGUAAAAGAGAAAGAUCCCCGCAAUUUGCGAAUUUCGAUUUUUUCGUUCGACGUGUUGCCUCCCCUGUCACACUUACGUACGAAUUUACAAGUGCGGUAGAAAUGAUUUUACAAAUAAGUACCGACUUAAACUAUAGAUUCUAUAGAAGAUACCUAGAUACCUACCUACUUAAGUAGGUACAAAAUAUAAGUUAAUUGACAAACUAGCAUUAUAACUUGCCUAUAGGUGUAUAUAUCAAAAUAACUAUGAGCAAGAUAAGUAAGUAAAUAUACUUUAUUUUGCAUCAUUCGGUAUUUUUUUACAGAAAGCUAAAUACCUAGUCUUGCCUAAAAACCGGCGGUCUUAUCGCUAAAACGAUCUCUUCCGGACAACCAAGACAAGAAAUAAGUAAUUAUAAUAUUCCGUAUAUAUAUAUUAUAUAUGCAUUUCAUUCUGACAAGUGACUGCGAAACAUUUUAAAAGGUCAUAUCUCCUUGCAGUAACCGCAGUGUUUACACCUAUUUGAUAUAUCUAUAUAUAGGUAUAUAACAAUAAAUUUGUCGUAAAUAAAUAUUACAUCUUUAAAGAAAUUCGAUACCACCUACAUAGCUUGCAAGUAUCGUAAUUAUAAAUAAUAACAAUAGGUGUACUUAUAUUGAGAAUGUUUACAUUUCCUAUCUAUCGAAUCGGAAGAGCAAAAACAAUAUUGUACCUAACCUAACCAAGUUGGUGGUUACUUUACUAGUGGGUUUUUUUUUCCAGUAGUUACCAGUGGUAAAAGGUGGGAAAAAGAUCCCAGUAGUAACCACUGGGAAUGAAAAUGAAAAUCCCAGUGGGAAUAACCCAUUUCUUUCGCAUACAUUUUGGCAUAUACGAGCGCGCGGCGAUGCGACGUGCGUACGUGAGCGCGUGUGACAACCAACUGGCCAAAGAGCAUAUAAUCACUACGUUCUCAACUGGCUUGCUUUUGUACCGUGAACGGGACGAGAUUCGUAGGCAUAAUCCGAGCUCGCGCGGAGAGCAAAGAGCAUAUAAUCACUAUGGCGGAGAGUUCCAUAGGCCUGAUUCCAGCCUCUUCCACAAUCAAUACUCUGCUCUAAAUAUACUCCAUAGAGUUACGUAUAAGGUUAUUUUACUGAUAUUGGUGUAAUUGGUGUAGUCAACCAUUUGUCAAAAUUGACGGUUAUGCAGAUAUAAAUAUUUUAAUCAGUAAAAUAUGUUUUCCUCCAUUUUAGGUUGUAGUUGUAGCGAUAAUCAUGAUUCCAAAGUAGAUAAUAUACAGUAUGACGAUGGUACUGUGGAGACCAUGGACGCGGCACAGCCCUUUCCAAGCUCGGACCAGAUCUGGGGAAUGGUGGGCACUAUUUUGGCCAUUGGAGCAGUUUGGAUGAUAUUCACAAGGAUGAAACGCAGCCGCAAGGCUUCGUACCCGCCAUCACAAGUCGUCCACGGAAACGACAGGCAGCAACCUCUCGCUGCCGCUCGUCUCGCCCCACUGAAACAGGGCUCGCAGCGCGAAACACAGACCUCGACCGCAUGCAACAAGCGUUGUAAAUAAAACCUUUCAAAUUAAACACGUUGCUAACAAUA